GACGAACGCUGGCGGCGUGCCUAAUACAUGCAAGUUGAGCGCUGAAGGUUGGUACUUGUACCGACUGGAUGAGCAGCGAACGGGUGAGUAACGCGUGGGGAAUCUGCCUUUGAGCGGGGGACAACAUUUGGAAACGAAUGCUAAUACCGCAUAAAAACUUUAAACACAAGUUUUAAGUUUGAAAGAUGCAAUUGCAUCACUCAAAGAUGAUCCCGCGUUGUAUUAGCUAGUUGGUGAGGUAAAGGCUCACCAAGGCGAUGAUACAUAGCCGACCUGAGAGGGUGGUCGGCCACCUUGGGACUUGGACCAGGCCCAAACUCCUUCCGGAGGCAGCAGUAGGGAAUCUUCGGCAAUGGAAGAAAGUCUGACCGAGCAACGCCGCGUGAGUGAAGAAGGUUUUCGGAUCGUAAAACUCUGUUGGUAGAGAAGAACGUUUGUGAGGGUGGAAAGCUCAUCAAGUGACGGUAACUACCCAGAAAGGGACGGCUAACUACGUG
rnacentral:rRNA from 1 species